UUUACCGUCUUCACAGUGCACACUUCUGUGGCUGGUGGCCUACCAAACGCUGAGGGGCACAAGCAUGGUGUAGCAGACUCUCUAUUUGGUGUGUUCAUCUUAUCUUCAUCUUAAACUAAUCUUCUCUGAGGAUCAAACCAAACUAAGAUGGCUGACACGGACACACCGGAGGGUGUCCAGGACCUGGAAUCUCCGGAGGAGGAGCUGGAUGACGAGCAGACAGCCUUGCUACACUUUGGAAAAUACUGUGAAGCCCGGCGUGCGCUUCCUUGGGACCAGUGGACCUUCAGAGAAAAGGCAAACUAUUAUAUGGACCGCAUCUUCCUUGGGGUCUUGAUCAUUUUUUUGCUCAUGUUAGUGGGAGAAUGUGCCUAUAAAGUGUGGUACGUCACAAACGUGAAUAAGAUUGCACAGUUGGUGUCAGACUCGGUGGUCUCUCUGUACGACUGGCUCUUCACCCAGCAGAAACAGGAGGAGCUGUUGGAAUUGUAGGUUGUUAAUAGAGCUUUUUUUUUUUUAGUGUUUUCUACAAUGUUUUAGGCACAUGUGGUGUUACAAAUGCUCAGUAAGGAUUUAAGUCAUAGCUCUUCUAUUGUAACUACAAAAACAGCAAUUUAUUACUGAUUUCUGAACGACAUUUUUUGUGGUGAAUUAAUGGAAAUAAAUAAUGUAUGCAAUUAACCGAA